GAUUCUGAUGUCCGCACAGCCAUGUUGGGAUUCUAACCCUAAUCCUCGGAACAUUGCACAUGUCACUCAUCUGGCAGGAAUACCAUUAAGCCAUUGCCUCCCCUUUUUAGCAAUGUUUAAAGAAAGUUCCAUCAUUCUACGUGAACAAUGUGCAACGUCCAUGUGUCGGCCUCUCCAAAAGGAUGAGGCUGUCACUGGCUCGGCCAGCAUUUAUUGCUGCGUUUACCCAGAGGGCAGUUAAGAGUCAACUGCGUUGCUAUAGGUCUGGAGUCCCAUGCAGACCAGACCAGAUCCCAGUGAUUAAUGCCAAAGCCCCAUUGCCUGUGGAGAAGGU